rnacentral:rRNA from 1 species
ACGGGUGAGUAACACGUGGGAACGUGCCCUUUGGUUCGGAACAACUCAGGGAAACUUGAGCUAAUACCGAAUGAGCCCUACGGGGGAAAGAUUUAUCGCCAUUGGAGCGGCCCGCGUCUGAUUAGCUUGUUGGUGAGGUAAAGGCUCACCAAGGCUACGAUCAGUAGCUGGUCUGAGAGGAUGAUCAGCCACACUGGGACUGAGACACGGCCCAGACUCCUACGGGAGGCAGCAGUUAGGAAUCUUGCGCAAUGGGCGAAAGCCUGACGCAGCCAUGCCGCGUGAAUGAUGAAGGUCUUAGGAUUGUAAAAUUCUUUCAGCGGGGAAGAUAAUGACGGUACCCGCAGAAGAAGCUCCGGCUAACUUCGUGCCAGCAGCCGCGG